rnacentral:rRNA from 1 species
UACGUAGGGUGCGAGCGUUGUCCGGAAUUAUUGGGCGUAAAGGGCUCGUAGGCGGUCUGUCACGUCGGGAGUGAAAACUCAGGGCUUAACCCUGAGCUUGCAGUGGGUACGGGCAGACUAGAGUGCGGUAGGGGAGACUGGAAUUCCUGGUGUAGCGGUGAAAUGCGCAGAUAUCAGGAGGAACACCGGUGGCGAAGGCGGGUCUCUGGGCCGUAACUGACGCUGAGGAGCGAAAGCAUGGGGAGCGAACAGG